GUGAUAAAAGCUUUUAGGUAAUGUGAAGCGUAAAUUUUUUGGGUUUAUGAAAGGGUGUUUCCCUUUGUCAUU